rnacentral:siRNA from 1 species
ACAGCAACUUAACAUUUUCACUA